rnacentral:lncRNA from 1 species
AUCACAGGGGCACUCAAACAACAGAUCUUGGUGUGACUGAUCUGAGAAGUCAAAGAAAAUGAAAGCAUCAGGGAAAUGUGAAGGUGACUGUCCGUGCUUGAUGUUGAACUUGGAAGGAAUCAGGUGGAAAGGGACUGAGUGUGUACUCUCAGAGCUGAGAGUGACAGGAGGCAAGAAACAGAAACUUCUAUGCUACCCACAAGGAAAUGAAUCCCUGUGGCAACCAUGGGAUUACAGGAGCAGAUAGCAUUCAAAGCCUUAGCCUGGAACUCUGCCCAGUGACGUCUCGGUUUCUGCUUUGUGAGAUGCCAAGAGGAGAACCCACUCAUGUGUUUGUGGCAUGCCAGAUCCCUGACUGCAGAGCUGUAAGUCACUCAAGAUUAUUGUCUUGCUCAGAGAAGCUUCUCCCUGCAGCAGAUGAAAACAAAUACAGAGACCCACAGCCAGACAACAUUCGGAGAGUAAG